GAUGAACGCUGGCGGCGUGCUUAACACAUGCAAGUCGAACGGAAAGGCCCAAGCUUGCUUGGGUACUCGAGUGGCGAACGGGUGAGUAACACGUGGGUGAUCUGCCCUGCACUUCGGGAUAAGCCUGGGAAACUGGGUCUAAUACCGGAUAGGACCACAUUUUGGAUGGUGUGGUGGAAAGUUUUUCGGUGUGGGAUGAGCUCGCGGCCUAUCAGCUUGUUGGUGGGGUAAUGGCCUACCAAGGCGUCGACGGGUAGCCGGCCUGAGAGGGUGUACGGCCACAUUGGGACUGAGAUACGGCCCAGACUCCGACGGGAGGCAGCAGGGGGGAAGAUUGCACAAUGGGCGCAAGCCUGAUGCAGCGACGCCGCGUGGGGGAUGACGGCCUUCGGGUUGUAAACUCCUUUCGCUAGGGACGAAGCGUUAUGUGACGGUACCUGGAGAAGAAGCACCGGCUAACUACGUG
rnacentral:rRNA from 1 species